AACUCUGAAACAUCCAUUACAAAAACACAUUACAUCACUCACAAACCUGGAUUCAGUCACUGCAAUUCAUAUCUAUUUUACUGUCAAAAAUACUGACUAUGAUCAAUGAUUAAUUGUGAACAUUCAAAAGUUUUCAAAUGUGCAGGUUACUGUUAGAAUACAGUCACUACACAAUUUUUGAUCAGGAAAAAGUUACGAUGAUUGCAACUUAAAUACCGAAGCCAUUUGUUAUGAGAAUACGCCGUUACCACAAAUAAUCCACAUAGAUGCAUUGAAAGAAACUUUACUGAGUAACAUAAUGCAUCAGAAUACUAUAGGCACAAAGAAUGAAAUUUCUGUAGAUUUACCAUACAUUUUACUUUUCUUGCGCAUGAUAAGAUUACUAACGGAAGUUACUUACCGUCCAUUGUCUGGAAUAUAAACUAUCUCUUCUCGUCUGCAAACACGUGCUUUUGCAGCAAGUAUUAUCAAUUUUUUUCCGUGAUUGAAAAGCUUUAACGCACACAAAUCCCGCCAUCAUAUACAAAUCCACAAGGCAUCAGCAUGCCAUGUUCAAAGAAUAUCCGCGUUUCGAAAACUACCAGAGAUAUUGGCUUGCAUGAGAGACGACGUCAUGCCAUGAUAUGACGUCAUGAUUCCUCGGGGCCCGCGAGACGCUUCUUAUUAUGGGAGGAUGCGAAGUUCACCGGACUUGGGUUUGAUGUGACGUCAGUAUGACGUAUACAUGCUACAUCGAAAACGAUAGAAACCUUAUAUCGACUAUUCGACUUUUGUGAACUUUCGAGAGGUUGUGACAGGGGUAGCGAUGUGGUCUGCGCCAUUCGUUUAAAUGUGUUUUUCGUUCCUUGCUUUUAAAUCGUGUAUUGUACUGUGUUUGUGUCCUGUGCGUUGUUUUUCGUUUGCUCGUCUCUAAUUAUGUGUUUAGCAUUCGAGAGACUAAUGAGAGAAAAGCUGACAGAGUUCAGCAUCGAUGACGACGGGCAAUUGCGUGGUUAUUGUGAAUCUCAAGCAGAAAUUGAAGUACAUAUUCAUAGUUUUGCCCAGUUUUCCAACCACUUAUUUAGAAACAAUUUAUUUCUGAUUUUGCAGGUUGUCCAAAAUUUUUCUUCAGACUUAAGAGUGGGAGUGUGGAUAUCCGAUUUUUCAGAUAUCCUUUCUCAGUGGAAAAUGGAAGUCACCAGGAAUGUAUUCUUGGCCCUAAGUACUACAAAGAAAUGAAAGGGGUUCCUGUUCCAGAUCACCUGGCUGACCGUACGACCCCCAGGAAGAGACUCUGUGUUAUGGACACAAAGAAAAGUGGUUGCCCAGCUACAUUCUCUGUUAAAUGUAUCCGGGUAUACCCUGGAUAUUCAAUUGAGUCAGUAUACCCUGGAUAUUCAAUUGAGACAGAGGGGGCUCAUCCUAAUAUUAAGAAAGAGGUAUGGAGUUAAUGAAGAAUCCACAGGGCUUUAAUCAAUAGAAAAAGUGCUAAAGCAACUGGAAACAUAUAAAUGUUAUCAUUAUCAACAGAAAUUAAACUUUUUUUAACUUAUUGAGAAGCAGACCAGAUCAUAUACCCCCUCUUGUUCUUUCAGGAAUGUGCUGCUUCUUUUGUGAUUUCUGCUGGUAUCCUGUAAGCCAUGUGUUGCAGUGCUAGAUUUUGUACUGUAACUGCUUUAUGUGCCAAUUUGUGAAAUCCCCAUUCUGAGAAAUGGAAAAUGGGACAGAAGUUCUUGCAUGAAUAUUUGAACUUUCGAUAAUCUGGACAAGAUCAGGUUUUUCAAAGUUUACCAUACAAUGAGUCUUCAGUUCCUGCACAUUUUACAUGAAACAAUCCCGUAGUUACCAUCGUUACUGAUACUGCACUAAAAUCAACAGAAUUUAAUUUAAAAUACCUGGGAGGUAACUAUGGACUAAAACUGUAAUAAAACCUGUUAUGUUACAUUUGUACUUUGCUGAAGGUGUGAAUAUUUCACCAACCUGUUCAUUUCUUCAGCACCAUUUGUUGUGCUUAUACUGGCAAACAUGUCUGUGUACUUAAAAGCUUUUACCCAUCUAUAAUGCCCUGGAUCCCACAGCUUUUCAAAGUAAUGUAAUGCAGACUCCUUCCCUUCAAAAACACUAUGAAUUCUCGUCUUUCCUAAAUUAACUGCCCUCCACAGUUUAACAACUAUGUCUUUCUUGUUCUUUUGCAUGUUUUCAUAACCACAUCCUUCAAGCCAGCCAGCCUACCCCCCCCCCCCCCUCCCUCCCCCAGGGGGCCUGCAGCACUUUUGUGGGCACAUGUGUGGUGUCCUUUCGUCUAUUAAACUAACCAACCUCCCUGUGAAAUAAACAUAGAUACACUUUAAAGAUGGGAAGUACUCCCUGAAUUGCAUUUAUCUCGGACUCUGAGAAAUUGGUAACCCAGUAUGCAGGAUUUAUGUCUGUAUUCUAUUCCUUGUAAAAAUAUUUAAUGCUUUACAAAUUUAUCUUGUGUCUUCUAUCUGAAGAUAAAAAUCCUACCUCUAAAUAGCACACUUAUGCUUCCACUGUUAUAAAGAACAGUGGAAUGUCCUACUUUGUGGCUUUGUCGCAUCAAGCAAGCAUACUGUUCCAUACUUA